UAAGGAAUAUUGGUCAAUGGGAGGAAUCCUGAACCAGCCACGCCGCGUGCGGGAAGAAGGCCCUUUGGGUUGUAAACCGCUUUUGUCAGGGAAGAAUGGGGUAGAUUUAUCUGCUUAGGGACGGUACCUGAAGAAUAAGCACCGGCUAACUCCGUGCCAGCAGCCGCGGUAAUACGGAGGGUGCAAGCGUUAUCCGGAAUCACUGGGUUUAAAGGGUACGUAGGCGGUUUAAUAAGUCAGGUGUGAAAUACUGCAGCUUAACUGCGGAACUGCACAUGAUACUGUUAGACUUGAGUAGGGAGGAGGGACACGGAAUGCAUCAUGUAGCGGUGAAAUGCUUAGAUAUGAUGUAGAACACCGAUAGCGAAGGCAGUGUUCCAUACCUAUACUGACGCUGAGG
rnacentral:rRNA from 1 species